rnacentral:rRNA from 1 species
CAGUCGCCGCGGGAAUACGAAGGGUGCAAGCGUUACUCGGAAUUACUGGGCGUAAAGCGUGCGUAGGUGGCGUGUUAAGUCGAAUGUGAAAGCCCCGGGCUCAACCUGGGAAUGGCAUCCGAUACUGGCAGGCUAGAGUUCGAUAGAGGGUAGUGGAAUUCCAGGUGUAGCGGUGAAAUGCGUAGAGAUGUGGAGGAAUACCGAUGGCGAAGGCAGCCCCCUGGGCCAAUACUGACGCUCAUGCACGAAAGCGUGGGGAGCAAACAGGAUUAGAGACCCCCGUAGUCCCUGUCUCUUAUAC